UGGCGGACGGGUGAGUAACGCGUGGGUAACCUGCCUCAUACAGGGGGAUAACAGUUAGAAAUGACUGCUAAUACCGCAUAAGACCACAGUACCGCAUGGUACAGGGGUAAAAACUCCGGUGGUAUGAGAUGGACCCGCGUCUGAUUAGGUAGUUGGUGGGGUAACGGCCUACCAAGCCGACGAUCAGUAGCCGACCUGAGAGGGUGACCGGCCACAUUGGGACUGAGACACGGCCCAA
rnacentral:rRNA from 1 species